GCCUCGAUAGCUCAGUUGGGAGAGCGUCCGACUGAAGAUCUAGGUCCCUGGUUCGAUCCCGGGUCGCGGCA
rnacentral:tRNA from 1 species